UACGUAGGUGGCAAGCGUUGUUCGGAAUUAUUGGGCGUAAAGGGCGCGUAGGCGGCCAACUAAGUCAGACGUGAAAUCCCUCAGCUUAACUGGGGAACUGCGUCUGAUACUGGAUGGCUUGGAUUCGGGAGAGGAAUGCGGAAUUCCAGGUGUAGCGGUGAAAUGCGUAGAUAUCUGGAGGAACACCGGUGGCGAAGGCGGCAUUCUGGACCGAUAUUGACGCUGAGGAGCGAAAGCCAGGGGAGCAAACGGG
rnacentral:rRNA from 1 species